rnacentral:lncRNA from 1 species
GCUUGGAAAAGGGGAAUCUAUAUUUAAUGUGAGAUAUUUUUAUGCACAUCUUAGUGAAGAUGUGUUACAUAUUCCACUACAACCAACUUCUUAGAAGUGGUCUAAAUUAUUUGUUUUUUUCCAGUGGUUUUAAAGCCUGUAUCCUAAUAUUGGAAAUCAGAUUAAUACAAAUGCAAAUUUAACCGGUAAAUAUAUUUUAAAUAUAUAUCUUGCAGGGAGGAAAACAAGGUAAAGCAGAUAACUAUGAAUGGAGAAUGGUUGAAGUGUUGCUUCUUGAAAUUGUUUUAUUCUGCUAGUCCAUAA